rnacentral:rRNA from 1 species
AACGAACGCUGGCGGCGUGGAUAAGACAUGCAAGUCGAACGGGAACUUCAGCUGUAGCAAUACAGUUGAAGUUUUAGUGGCGAACGGGUGCGUAACACUUGGGCAAUCUGCCGAGAAGUGGGGGAUAGCUCGCCGAAAGGCGAAUUAAUACCGCAUAUGAUCAGCUAAGACAUCUUAGCGACAUCAAAGCCGGGGCAACCUGGCGCUUUUUGAGGAGCCCGCGGCCUAUCAGCUAGUUGGUGAGGUAACGGCUCACCAAGGCUAUGGACGGGUAGCUGGUCUGAGGAGGACGACCAGUCACACUGGAACUGAGACACGGUCCAGACACCUACGGGUGGCAGCAGUCGAGUAAUUUUUCUCAAGUGGGGCAACCCUGAAGGAGCGACGCCGCGUGGAGGAUAG